GUCCACUCCUCCUCUCUUCACUGUAGCCACAGGUAUUUCCUGAGUAGAUCCCCAGCACCCUGCCUCUGUCCCUGUCCACUCCUCCUCUCUUCACUGUAGCCACAGGUAUUUCCUGAGUAGAUCCCCAGCCCCCUGUCCCUGUCCCUGUCCACUCCUCCUCUCUUCACUGUAGCCACAGGUAUUUCCUGAGUAGAUCCCCAGCCCCCUGCCUCUGUCCCUGUCCACUCCUCCUCUCUUCACUGUAUCCACAGGUAUUUCCUGAGAAGAUCCCCAGCCCCCUGCCUCUGUCCCUGUCCACUCCUCCUCUCUUCACUGUAUCCACAGGUAUUUCCUGAGAAGAUCCCCUGCACCCUGCCUCUGUCCCUGUCCACUCCCCCUCUCUUCACUGUAGCCACAGGUAUUUCCUGAGAAGAUCCCCAGCACCCUGCCUCUGUCCCUGUCCACUCCCCCUCUCUUCACUAUAGCCACAGGUAUUUCCUGAGUAGAUCCCCAGCCCCCUG
ensembl:lncRNA